CUUUUAUGGAGAGUUUGAUCCUGGCUCAGGACGAACGCUGGCGGCGUGCCUAAUACAUGCAAGUCGAGCGGAUUUAUUCCUUCGGGGAUAG
rnacentral:rRNA from 1 species